UACGUAGGUGGCAAGCGUUAUCCGGAAUUAUUGGGCGUAAAGCGCGCGCAGGCGGUUUCUUAAGUCUGAUGUGAAAGCCCACGGCUCAACCGUGGAGGGUCAUUGGAAACUGGGGAACUUGAGUGCAGAAGAGAAGAGCGGAAUUCCACGUGUAGCGGUGAAAUGCGUAGAGAUGUGGAGGAACACCAGUGGCGAAGGCGGCUUUUUGGUCUGUAACUGACGCUGAGGCGCGAAAGCGUGGGGAGCAAACAGG
rnacentral:rRNA from 1 species